GGCUGGUCCGAAGGUAGUGAGUUAUCUCAAUUGAUUGUUCACAGUACAGAUUGAACUCCUUGUUCUACUCUUUCCCCCCUCCUCACUACUGCACUUGACUAGUCUUAA
rnacentral:Y_RNA from 1 species